rnacentral:rRNA from 1 species
UACGUAGGGUGCGAGCGUUAAUCGGAAUUACUGGGCGUAAAGCGUGCGCAGGCGGUUCGUUGUGUCGGUGGUGAAAUCCCCGGGCUUAACCUGGGAAUGGCCAUGGAAACUGGCGAACUGGAGUGCGGCAGAGGGGGGUGGAAUUCCGCGUGUAGCAGUGAAAUGCGCAGAUAUCGGGAAGAACACCCGUGGCGAAGGCGGCUCUCUGGGACGGUACUGACGCUGAGACGCGAAAGCGUGGGGAGCGAACAGG